AGACUCCUUCCGCCGCCUCUCGCUCCCUGGCUGCGAGGCGCGGAUUCCGUGGCCGGGCCGGUGCUGCUCCGCUGCCCCUGGGAACUCACGUCCCCGACGCCUGGCGGUGCGGCGGAGCGCCGCGUAGUGACCAAUUCCUGGGGCGAGGGAUUUGCCCACCUCUGUCGCUGUUUGCGCCGUCGAGAGCCGAAAACCUCCUUGGCCUCCCUGUUCGACUUCGGGUGUACCUGCCGAGACGUCAACGCUCUGCGGAGGCCUCCGUUAUAAAAGAGGAAAUUUCCCCCCACCUCUCAGGAUCUCAUGGAGCCCAGAGGGACCAAGAGAGGAGGCGGGAAGGUAGAAGUAGCUGAACCUCCGAACAAAUUCCCCCACCCAGCCCCUUCACUACCCACAGACCCUGCCCUCUACUUUGGGCCCUUCCCUUUUUACCGGCGCCCUUCCCAAAUGGGCUGCUUCUCCCUGGAUGCCCAACGCCGGUACCAUGGAGAUGCCCAAGCCUUGCGCUACUACAGCCCACCCCCCACCAAUGGUCAGUGCCCCAACUUUGACCUCAGAGACGGAUACCCUGAUCGGUACCAGCCCCGGGACGAGGAGGUCCGAGAAGGCCUGGACCACCUCCUACACUGGCUCCUGGAGCACCGAGACCAGCUGGCAGGGGGUCCAAGCUGGCUGACAGGGGCCAUAGUGACAUGGAGGGGGCACCUGACAAAAUUGCUGACAACACCAUAUGAGCGGCAGGAGGGCUGGCAGCUGGCAGCCUCCAGGUUCCAGGGGACACUGUACCUGAGUGAGGUAGAGACACCAGCUGCUCGAGCUCAGAGGCUUGCCCGACCACCCUUCCUUCGGGAACUUAUGUACAUGGGUUACAAGUUCGAGCAGUACAUGUGUGCAGACAAACCUGGAGGCUCCCCAGACCCCUCUGGGGAGGUUAAUACCAACGUGGCCUUCUGCUCGGUGCUACGCAGCCGCUUGGGAAACCACCCUCUGCUCUUCUCAGGGGAGGUAGACUGCACAGACCCCCAGGCCCCAUGCCCACAGCCCCCCACCUGCUAUGUGGAGCUCAAGACCUCCAAGGAGAUGCACAGCCCUGGCCAAUGGAGGAGUUUCUACAGACACAAGCUUCUGAAAUGGUGGGCUCAGUCAUUCCUCCUGGGGGUCCCAAAUGUUGUUGCUGGCUUCCGUAACCCAGAGGGUUUCGUCUGUUCCCUCAAGACCUUCCCCACCAUGCAGAUGUUCGAACACGUCAGGAAUGACCGUGACGGCUGGAAUCCCUCCGUGUGCAUGAACUUCUGUGCUGCCUUCCUUAGCUUUGCCCAGAACACAGUUGUCCAGGAUGACCCCAGGCUCGUCCACCUCUUCUCCUGGGAGCCUGGUGGCCCAGUCACAGUGUCUGUACAUCAGGAUGCACCCCAUGCCUUCCUGCCCACAUGCUGAGUCACCCUCAAGCACAGACAGACCGUUUGCUGUUUUAUUACCACUUUUUACACGGGAAUCAUUCACUGAGUAUAGAGGCUGGCUGCGAAGACGAUGUCCCUCCGUAGCAGGGUGGCUGCCGUCUCCAUCUUGGCACCUAACACAGGCUCGCCUACCAGACGGGCUGCUCCCCGCAGUGACCGACACAUCUCGGCCAGGCGUUGGAUGCAGCGGACCACCAGGCCCUCAGGGGUCCCCGAGAGCCCUGCCAACUCAGAGAAGGGCUGUGGGGGGAGCAGGGUAGGGACUGAAUUUGAUAAACCUGGGCAGCCUCUCCCCAACCAGCUGUCUGCAAAACCCCAAACCCUAGUUACUCACCAUGCCCCGGGCCCACUCGUACACAACUCCAACAAGCCCAAAAUUCAGCUCCCCUACAAAUUCCUCCACUGUCUGGUUCAGGCCACAGGCCACCUGAACCUCACCAAUCCGCUUGGCCACAGCCCGGACACGUUCCACUCCCUACAGAUGGGGACAGACAGUUAAGAACUGCCUUCCUGCUCCAGGAUAAGGGAGGCUCAGAUCAAGGAACAAGCCAUUCCAGUUCUUAGGAGCACUCACCAGCUGGAGAGGUCACUUGGGGAAACCUGGGAGUGGGGACUGGGAAUGUGCAGCCAGGGGAGGGAGGGGGUGGGUGCCCCAUACCUGUUUGAGGGUACUUGGGAGCUGCUCCCCAGCGUCCCCAGGGCUCUGGCAGACCAGGCCAGACAGCAGGGCUGCAAUCUCCUCUGGCCGCAGGGCACUCAGAGCGUUGUCAAACAUGAGCUCAGUGAGGAGCAGCUCGUGGCUGCUCAUGGAACAAGCCACCCGCCCCGCCAGCUUCACCGUGCCUGCCUCGUCUACGUAACCCAGGGUUUGGAGCACCUGGACAGAAGAUGGUGGGCGUUGGGAGCCUGCUGCCCUCCCUCACUAGCCCCUUUGCCCCUACCCAACACUCUCACCUGUACUCGCUGGUGGUACUCGGGGAGCAGUAGCAGUGACUGGUCUGACAGCAGGAAGCGCAGCCGCUCCAUCUCCUUCUGUACCUGCAUUCGCUCCCGCAGCUUCAGGUACUGCGGAGAGCCACAGGCAAAAGGAAAAAGCAGAAAGAAAGGAGAGGGGAAGGAGGCUGAAGAGAGAGAAUCCAGCUGGGGCCCUCCGGCUUUCCUCAUGCUGCCUGGCUCACCGUCAUCAUUCGGUGCAGGUCCACCAUCUCAGGCACUCGACCCUUGCAGAGCAGGAUAACGGUGCCUGUAGGGUCCAGGCCCCUCCGGCCUGCCCUACCCGCCAUCUGCACAUACUCGCCCGGGAGCAGGUCCCGAAAGGUAGAGCCGUCGUGCUUGCGCAUGGAGUCAAACACCACCGUUCGGGCCGGCAUAUUUACACCCAUGGCAAAGGUCUCAGUGGCAAACAGGACCUGGGACACAGGAAAGAGGAUCAGCAAAGGGGCUGCACACAAACACCCAGCACACCUUCCUCUGUACCAGGGCCACCCGGCACGGUCUGGACGGUUAAUUCGCAGAAGCCCAUUUAACUCUCCAGGCAAGACUUCAGAGUGGGGACUCUUGUUUUCAUUUUAUUGAUUUAGCUGCCUAUUUAUUUCUUUGUACCCACACAUCCCACUUCUAUGCCCCCACUGUCUGUUAUCCAAUGUCUUUAAGGAGUAUCUUUUCCUGUGAAUAUGCUGUUACAAGUCAUCUUGUCUUGUGUGCGUGUAAUUUGCAUUUCGCAUUAAAGGCAUUUAUAGAUCC